rnacentral:lncRNA from 1 species
AUACUUGUUGGAGAUGGGCAAUCACGAACCCCGAAAGAGAUUACUUCCUUACAAAAAAGGUAAAGAAUAUCCUUGGUAAUAAUACCAACAAAAUUUAUGACCUAACCUAAAGUUAGAAUUUUCUUUAAUAAAUAAGUUAGAUUAAAGUUGCUUAAAAAUAUAUUUAGUUUGUUAUGUGAGAGACUUAUUACAUCCUAUUAAUCAUGUUAUAUAUUUAUAUUGUGAUAUAACUAUAAUUAUGAUUGUUUAAUGGCUAUGAGCUAUAAAUAUCUUUCUUCCAUAAAAUCAACUAAUUGGUUUUCAUCUCGAUAUAAUACGAGAAUUAUAUCAAAUAUGAAUUAAAUUAGUCAAAACUAAAAAAUAUUAAUCGACUCAUAUUGUAUGGUACUGAUUAAAAUUAGUUUGUAAAUAACAUUUCAUAUUUUUUUCUAAAUAAGAUAUGAAAGUUUCAAACCUUGAACUUGAUAUAUGUUUGUAAUAUGUUGAUCAUUGAAUCAUGUCCAUAAUGAUAAUAUUUAUAUUUAUGAAUUAGUAUAGUAUAUAUAACUUAAUCGGGUGUGUGCUUUAAUUUGUGAAUCAUUAGUUAAACAACUAAUCAUCUUAAUGAGGAUGCAGUCCACUUAUACGGUAAUUAACCACUUUUGAGUUCUUUACAACAACUUUGUCAUUAUAAUAUAUUGAUAAUCUGCCAUUAUUUGGUGAAUUGGGUGUUGUUUUGGUUGGUUUUCCUCCUCUUUUAAUCUGUUUUAUGAUGUUUUGUCUCCAAGUUUGUGAAUAAUUAUACACUUGAUGCGUUGUUUAAUGUGAUCAUGUGCAAGAAAAGAGGCACCGGGGGUCAAAUUAGUUUUUUAGUCAAAUUGAUUUCGAGAGCAACGUAAUUUAUUGUUGUAGCAUCGAAACAACCAACUUCCAAGAAAACGCAUCAGCUUAACUAAUUCAAAAUCAAUGUUGAAAGGGGGGAAAAUAUGAGCACACAGAUACAAGAAGUUUGACAGAUUAGAAUUAUCAAUAAGCGAUAAAUUCAAAGUUUAACCAAAUUUUAACUGUUCAAAAAUCAACACAUCCACUUCCAAUAACCAAUAUCAAUUACGUUUAACAAUUAGUAAAGGAUCUUAAGUUUUUCCUGAAUGGCACCAAUGCUUAUACUCCUCGAUUAGAAAAGAUUGUCAAAUUUCAAAUAGUUUUCAUUGCAUUUUUGGACUGUGACUGGAGUACUGUUUAUGGGUUUAUGAUGAAAUGAAUCGACAAUCAACAAGCACAACAGUUUAAUAGUCACCUUACCCUUGAAUUAAGGAUAUGAUAUGACUCUAGAAAAAGUGUAUAGUGUAUGGUUGUUUCUGGAAUUAUUAGGAAUGAGUGGUUUGACUUGGCGUUUCUGUUAUGGGCCUAAGCCUACUAUGACUCAAAAUAAAACGUUACAUAGCAAUAAAAAGCCUUAUAGUAUCCCAUUUCAUGCUAUAUAUGUCUACGAAGAGAUGGGCUCGGAUGCAUGUGAACAUAACUAUCUUUAUUCUUCUUCAAUCGUUAGUUGAUAACAACAAUUUUAGAGAGAAAGGUGAAUCACCAAAAGAACAGUUGCAUAUGAAAAGUGAAUUCAUAAUUGUUUCUCCAUGGAAGAGAGAAAGGUGAAUCACCAUGUUCCCAUAUAGAAUGUUUAUAAGAUCAUUCGCAAGUCAAGUAUAAUAAUUUUGAAUAUCUUGGAUUUCCAUGAAGAAGAAUCAAUCUCAUGAUUAUAGCACGUUAAUUAAAUCCAAGAUAUUGUUUGUUAAAGCUAUAAAUACGGAUUAGCCAUCCAUGUUCUCCAUUUUAAUUAAUCCAAUCUGUAUGGAAAUUAACCACAAUUCAAGUAUAUAUAAGGAACAAAGAAAAUACAGCAGAUGCAAUUUCUCAUAAUUAGUUCUUUCAGUGCCCUAUUAACAUAUUUAGAAUCUAAGGACAGUUGAAGAGAAAGGGAAAAACUCAUGGAAUUAAAUUAGAAUGAAAUGAUAAAGCAUAACAUAUAGAACAGGGAAGAAGUUAUUUUCAUCAUUAAUGGCAGUAAAAUAUUAUUUUUCUAACAAAAGAAAGAGAACUUGAGAGUAAAGUUUAUGUAUAUCAUUGUUUUGUUAAAAGACAACAAUAAGAGGACUUACUACUAAAUACAUAAAAAUUCAAUAUUCUUUUCUAGUUUUAACAUUUUGUUUUUAAUACUUUGUAGGUCUUACAUAUAAUGAUGGAUAGACUUUCAUAAGGUCCGUGCAUCUUAUAUUAUUUAUUUAAAUUAAGAUCACUACAUAUAUUGGGAGAGAGGAUUGAGCUAAAAUUCUAAGUUUAAACUUAUAUAGUCGAUUAAGCAACAAACAAUAGUGGACCAUCCCUCGGGCAAGCAUGGCGCAGUUUUGUACGCAUUUUUGUUACAAAAAAAUCAUCCCCGUC